GUGAGGAAUAUUGGUCAAUGGGCGGGAGCCUGAACCAGCCAAGUCGCGUGAAGGAAGAAGGAUCUAUGGUUCGUAAACUUCUUUUGCAGGGGAAUAAAGUGCAGGACGUGUCCUGUUUUGUAUGUACCCUGAGAAUAAGGAUCGGCUAACUCCGUGCCAGCAGCCGCGGUAAUACGGAGGAUCCGAGCGUUAUUCGGAUUUAUUGGGUUUAAAGGGUGCGUAGGUGGUUUGAUAAGUCAGCGGUGAAAGUUUGCAGCUUAACUGUAAAAAUGCCGUUGAAACUGUCGGACUUGAGUGUAAAUGAGGUAGGCGGAAUGCGUGGUGUAGCGGUGAAAUGCAUAGAUAUCACGCAGAACUCCGAUUGCGAAGGCAGCUUACUAAGCUACAACUGACACUGAAGCACGAAAGCGUGGGGAGCGAACAGGAUUAGAAACCCCGGUAGUCC
rnacentral:rRNA from 1 species